rnacentral:lncRNA from 1 species
GGAACUAAACAAAACCUUGAAUUUCCCAGCACAGACAGAAAACCCAAAGAAACCUAUAAAACAAAUGAAACUAUAGACACUGCGUAUAUGAUAAAACACUGAUCUAUAGAUGUCUUAAAUACAAAAUCUCAUGUCACAGAACUCACAAGACAUCUGAUCCAACCCCUCACAAGAUUCCUUAACAUAAAAAAAAAAAAGCUAAAGAUACUUUCUCUAUUUCAAGAGCUAUGCUCUUACGAAAGAAGAAAAAAUAACGCAAAUAUUUGAUAUGACUGCAAAAUUUCAGGAGAGGGAAAGUGCAAAAGGAUCUAAGAAUCCCCCUUGUUCAAACUUCCAAAGCCACCAUAACAGCAUAACCAAACCCAAAACGGAUUCCAAACUGAAGAACUAAAAUACAUCAAAUAACUUGACUAUAAUAUAACAAUGAAAACAAAAGGAAUUUUUUCAAUUAGUCAAGUAUAUCCUAUAAAAAGAAGGAAAGUGGGACAAGGAACACAGCCACCCCAGAAAACCAAACUGGCAUCAGAUCCUUCCAAAUCACAAAAAGGUACGAACUUUGAUGCCAGAGAACCCAGAGAGAGAGAGAGAGAAUCAAUUGGAAGAAGUCAAAGCAUCAAAAACGAGGAAGGUUCGGAAAGGAAAGAAAGGAAGAGGGUGUUAGCAACUAGGCAUAGCAAUAGCAGGGAAAGGAAAGGAAAGGAAAGAAAGAAAGAUUGAAGCAGAGAUGAAAGAGGCAAUGAUAAGGUCACGCGGCUGUGAAGGUCAAGGACACACCAUCCCCGAAGUUUCGUCUUUCGUUGUCAAAGAAACAAAGAGAGAGAAAAGAAGACACUGUUCGCGUAGGUGCUUGAAACCUGGUUGGUUCUGUUUGUGUUGUGUUGUGUGUCGAUAGAGAGAUGAAGUGGUUUGGAUGACGUUGGAGAUGGCGUCAGCGUCCCCAGCUUGGGUUUGCUUGCGUUGACGGUGGCGUCACUGCUCUUCUUCACAUCACUUUGUGGCUCUCUGCGUUCACACAACACACAUCCAAUGUCAUAAUUCAUAAUUC